UACGUAGGGGGCAAGCGUUGUCCGGAAUCAUUGGGCGUAAAGCGCGCGUAGGCGGCCGGUAAGUCCGCUGUGAAAGUCAAAGGCUCAACCUUUGAAUGUCAGCGGAUACUGCCGGGCUAGAGUCCGGAAGAGGCGAGUGGAACUCCUGGUGUAGCGGUGGAUGCGCAGAUAUCAGGAAGAACACCAACGGCGAAGGCAGCUCGCUGGGACGGAACUGACGCUAAGGCGCGAAAGCGUGGGGAGCGAACGAGG
rnacentral:rRNA from 1 species